rnacentral:rRNA from 1 species
ACGCGCGCUACACUGAUGAAGUCAACGAGUAUUCACCUUGGCUGGAAAGUCUGGGUAAUCUUGUGAAACUUUAUCGUGCUGGGGAUAGUCACUUGUAAUUUUGACUUGAACGAGGAAUUCCUAGUAAGCGUGAGUCAUCAGCUCGCGUUGAUUACGUCCCUGCCCUUUGUACACACCGCAA